rnacentral:rRNA from 1 species
AUGGAUGAACUUAUGAAAUUGUUUGCUACUAAGAGUGCUCCUAUUGAAUCUAAUGAUAUGCCUUUGUCUACUUUCCUCGAUGAAUCUAUGGAUGUGAAUUUUGUUGGUAGGAAUAAUUUUGGUAACAAUGCUUACAGAGGAAACUUUAAUCCUAGACUGUUUCCUAGUAAUUCAUCUAAUAAUUUUGGUAAUUCCUACAACAACUCUUAUGGAAAUUUUAAUAAGGUGCCCUCUGAUUUUAAGAAUAUCGUUAAGGAAUUUAUGGUCUCUCAAAAGAAUUUUAAUGCUUUGCUUGAAGAAAAAUUGCUUAAAGUUGAUGAAUUGGCUAGGAACAUUGAUAGACUUUCGCUUGAUGUUGAUUCUUUGAAACUUAGAUCUAUUCCACCUAAGCAUGAUAUCAAUGAGUCUCUCAAAGCCAUGAGAAUUUCCAUUGAUGAGUGCAAAGAAAGAACCGCUAGAUUGCGUGCUAAGAAAGAUUGCUUUGUAAAAGCGUGUUCUUCUAGUCUCCAUGAAAAUAAUGAUGAAGAUAUAAAAGUUAUUGAUGUAUCCCCUAUUAAAUCUUUUUUUUGCAAUAUGAAUCUUGAUAAUGAUGGGACUGGAGAUGAGUUAACUUUAGUUAAAAGGCGUCCCAAUAAUUCGGAGUUUUUAGAUCUUGAUGCUCGAUUUGGUAAAAGUGGGAUUGGAGAGGUUAAGACUUUAAAUAGCAUUGAACCCACUAUUAUGGAUUUCAAGGAAUUUAAUUAUGAUAAUUUUUCUUUAAUAAAUUGUAUUUCCUUGUUGCGAUCCGUGUUGAAUUCUCCUCAUGAUUAUAGUCAAAAUAAAGCUUUUACCAAACAUAUUGUUGAUGCCUUGAUGCAAUCUUAUGAGGAAAAACUUGAGUUGGAAGUUUCUAUACCUAAAAAUCUUUAUGAUGAGUGGGAACCUACUAUAAAGAUUAACAUUAAAGAUCAUGAUUUCUAUGCCUUGUGUGAUUUGGGUGCUAGUGUUUCCACGAUUCCGAAAACUUUAUGUGAUAUUCUAGGUUUCCAUGAUUUUGAUGAUUGCUCUUUAAACUUGCACCUUGCGGAUUCCACCAUUAAGAAACCUAUGGGAAGGAUCAACGAUGUUCUUAUUAUUGCAAAUAGGAAUUAUGUGCCCGUAGAUUUUAUCAUUCUUGAUAUAGAUUGCAAUCUUUCAUGUCCUAUUAUUCUUGGUAGACCUUUGCUUAGAACGAUUGGUGCAAUUAUUGAUAUGAAGCAAGGGAAUAUUAGAUUCCAAUUUACAUUAAGGAAAGGCACGGAACUCUUUCCAAGAAAUAAAGUUAAAUUACCUUAUGAAUCUAUCAUGCAAGCUACUUAUGAAUUGAAUGCCAAAGAUGGCACUACAUAG